UGUGACCUCUAACUUCAGAGC
rnacentral:piRNA from 1 species